UACGUAGGGUGCGAGCGUUGUCCGGAAUUAUUGGGCGUAAAGAGCUCGUAGGCGGUCUGUCGCGUCGGAUGUGAAAGCUCGAGGCUUAACCUCGGGUCUGCAUCCGAUACGGGCAGACUAGAGGCAGGUAGGGGAGAACGGAAUUCCCGGUGUAGCGGUGAAAUGCGCAGAUAUCGGGAGGAACACCGGUGGCGAAGGCGGUUCUCUGGGCCUGUACUGACGCUGAGGAGCGAAAGCGUGGGGAGCGAACAGG
rnacentral:rRNA from 1 species